UACGUAGGGUGCGAGCGUUGUCCGGAAUUAUUGGGCGUAAAGAGCUCGUAGGCGGUCUGUCGCGUCUGCUGUGAAAACCCGAGGCUCAACCUCGGGCCUGCAGUGGGUACGGGCAGACUAGAGUGCGGUAGGGGAGAAUGGAACUCCUGGUGUAGCGGUGGAAUGCGCAGAUAUCAGGAAGAACACCGAUGGCGAAGGCAGUUCUCUGGGCCGUGAACUGACGACUGGAGGAGCGAAAGCCGUGGGGAGCGAACAGG
rnacentral:rRNA from 1 species